rnacentral:lncRNA from 1 species
ACCCAAAUCAAGAGUUGGGUGCUUUGGGGCGCCUGGGUGGCGCAGUCGGUUAAGCGUCCGACUUCAGCCAGGUCACGAUCUCGCGGUCCAGGAGUUCGAGCCCCACGUCGGGCUCUGGGCUGAUGGCUCAGAGCCUGGAGCCUGUUUCCGAUUUUGUGUCUCCCUCUCUCUCUGCCCCUCCCCUGUUCAUGCUCUGUCUCUCUCUGUCCCCAAAAUAAAUAAACGUUGAAAAAAAAAUUUAAGAGUUGGGUGCUUAACCGACUGAGCCACCCAGGCACCCCGACAAUAAACUUUUUGAAAAUACGGACGAGAAGUCUUCUAUGGAAAACCAUGUCGUAAAUAAUAAACUCUUGAAAAGAAAGUGUCCAUGAACUUAAGGGUGUGUGUAAUAUUGUCUCCCUGAAUCUUAAGGCAUCAGGAAGUAGGUUUUUAAAUUUGGAAAAAUGUAUGCACCAUAGCAGCUUGUGCUGCAUCAGAGGAUAAGCCUCAGUGCUUGGCUCUGCUCUAUUUUUAUUUCCAUUAUGGGUUGAGGAACCAGGACUGUGUAGGUAAAGAGUUGGCUUCCCCUUGGACCAUGCCGGAAGCAAUGGGUGCGGGAUGGGCGGGGGUGAAGAGAGGUGCCGGGAAGGCAGUGGGAGUCUUGGGAAGGAACCAAGACCUUGCCUUCCCUCCUUUCCACUCCUGACACUGUCCUUUACGAUCACAGCCCCCCCCAGCAAAACGCAGAAGCGAGAGGAAACCCUGAAGACCCACGGUGGGUGCGGAAUUCUUGUGGGGGAGGGGAUCGCUCCUGCUUUUGCCGCAAAGGACAGGAGUGGCCAUCAUCUCAAAGAGACCGGGUGAGAAGGUGGCAGGUGCUGAAUGGAAACACCAACAGACAGAAUUGGAGAGGAGCACUUGGUAGGACGCUUCCUAAAAACCCUGCUUUGCCUCAUCGGUAUGCUGUUCCGGAACAGUUCUGCCUGACGCGGUGCUCCCGCAGGAUGCUCUCCAGGAACAUUCCGGUUAGCCUACCUCAGAAGAGUAACAGCCUGUGCGUGAACCCGUUACCCUCAAGACUUUGCUCUUCUUUCCACAAUACCUUUUGGUGGCCAGUCGACUUCUUCGACUUCCUGUUAGCUUUUCCAAUGGUUGGUUCGGAAACUCAAGUGAUUCUAGCCUUGGCUAUGUGGUCUCAGGAUUCGCACAACUAGUUUUCCUCGUUAUGAAU